rnacentral:lncRNA from 1 species
UGCGUGCUGCUUUGGCGGCUGGCGUCCCCUGGGCCACUCUGUUUGGCUCUUCCUGACGCGGUGCUAAAAUCUUUCCUGUAAUAGUACCGCUGCAGCAGGAGAUCGAGUGACUGACAAAAAAGUGAACUAAGGAAAACGUUCUGGGGUUCUUAAAGCUGUCGUCCUGAGGUUAUGAGCAAUGUUGCCAGAAGAUACGGUGCUUUCGAUCAGCUACCUUUAUUAUCGUUUCAAGGUACAACACUUCCCCUGGAUGUGUGGGAUGGCUGGAAAGACUGCUUGACUGCAUGUCUCUUAGGAAACAAAGUACAGCAUUAUCUGCCUGAGGAAAAGCCAGUACUUAAGUAUGCUAAUGGAACUGAUGGAAACAAACGAUGUGGAGAUCCUAACCCAGUAGUGGUUUCGCACAUUAAAAUCUGUGCUGAGUUCAGACUACUUCUGUCAAAAACGCUGUCUCUCCAGCAGUUGUGUAUGACUGAUAGCUCAUGGCAGUAUCACACGAUCCUUUGCAUAACAUUUCGAAACUCAAGCAUAAAGCGUGAGCAGCUAUGGAAUUCCUCAAGCUACGUGAACAGGUGCAUCUUCCGGCGAUCCGUUAAAGGCUUUUACUAG